rnacentral:ncRNA from 1 species
CAACCUCAACUCAUAUGGGACUACCCCCUGAAUUUAAGCAUAUUAAUUAGGGGAGGAAAAGAAACUAACAAGGAUUUUCUUAGUAGCGGCGAGCGAAAAGAAAUCAGUUCAGCACUAAGUCACUUUGUCUAUAUGGCAAAUGUGAGAUGCAGUGUAUGGAGCGUCAAUAUUCUAGUAUGAGAAAUUAACGAUUUAAGUCCUUCUUAAAUGAGGCCAUUUACCCAUAGAGGGUGCCAGGCCCGUAUAACGUUAAUGAUUACUAGAUGAUGUUUCCAAAGAGUCGUGUUGCUUGAUAGUGCAGCACUAAGUGGGUGGUAAACUCCAUCUAAAACUAAAUAUAACCAUGAGACCGAUAGUAAACAAGUACCGUGAGGGAAAGUUGAAAAGAACUCUGAAUAGAGAGUUAAAUAGUACGUGAAACUGCUUAGAGGUUAAGCCCGAUGAACCUGAAUAUCCGUUAUGGAAAAUUCA